UCAUGCACAUAAUGUAACUGAACUGACUGUCGGUCUGGUCCAGUGGCCAAACCCAAGUUUGACUUCUCGUUGCUUGAAGGGAACAUAUUUAAUUUUUUUUUUCUGGUGGAAAACUAUAUGAAGAGGAUAACCAACAAAGUAACAAAGUAAUACACACGUGAUAUUGCAGGGUAUGCCUUAUCACUGACCCAUAAGCCACUCAGCCUGGCAGUCAGAUUUUCAGAUUGUCUUGAUGCCCACCCACCUUUGGCUUGCCAGAUGCCUAUUUAUGGAUAGAUCCUGGGUCAGCUAUUUGUCUAAAAUGAGAGUGCAUGGAACAUGAAUAGUUUUCAGUAAAUUGUUACAAGGGAACUGGAACUUGAGUUUCAAGUCAAGAAAUUGGUGGGCAUGGAAC